GACGAACGCUGGCGGCGUGCUUAACACAUGCAAGUCGAGCGGAAAGGCCCUUCGGGGUCCUCGAGCGGCGAACGGGUGAGUAACACGUGAGUAAUCUGCCCUUGGCUUUGGGAUAACUACCGGAAACGGUGGCUAAUACCGGAUACGACAACCGUCUGCAUGGGCUGGUUGUGGAAAGUUUUUUCGGCCAGGGAUGUGCUCGCGGCCUAUCAGCUUGUUGGUGGGGUAAUGGCCUACCAAGGCUUCGACGGGUAGCCGGCCUGAGAGGGUGACCGGCCACACUGGGACUGAGACACGGCCCAGACUCCUACGGGAGGCAGCAGUGGGGAAUAUUGGACAAUGGGCGGAAGCCUGAUCCAGCAACGCCGCGUGAGGGAUGACGGCCUUCGGGUUGUAAACCUCUUUCAGUACCGACGAAGCGCCGAUGAUGGUGGUGACGGUAGGUACAGAAGAAGCACCGGCCAACUACGUG
rnacentral:rRNA from 1 species